AAGAGGAUUUGCCUUUGUAUAUUUUGAAAAUGUAGAUGAUGCCAAGGAAGCUAAAGAACGUGCCAAUGGAAUGGAGCUUGAUGGACGUCGGAUUAGGGUCGAUUUCUCUAUAACAAAAAGGCCCCAUACCCCAACACCAGGAAUUUAUAUGGGGAGACCCACUUAUGGCAGUUCACGACGCCGGGACUAUUAUGACCGAGGAUAUGAUCGGGGUUAUGAUGACCGGGACUAUUACAGCAGAUCAUACAGAGGAGGAGGUGGAGGAGGAGGUGGAUGGAGAGCAGCUCAAGAUAGAGAUCAGAUUUACAGCCCAAUGUCCUAUAGAUGUAGAUGCAAUCCUAAUUUUUUUACAGAAGGCGGUCACCUUCUCCUUACUACAGUCGUGGAGGAUACAGGUCUCGUUCUCGAUCAAGAUCCUACUCACCUCGUCGCUAUUAAAGCAUGAAGUUGAAGACUUUCUGAGACCUGCCAUAGAGCUGGGAUGUUGUUUGUGGACAAUAUUUUCUAUUGUCUCCUGUUUAAAAAGUGAACAGUGCCUAGUGAAGUUAGGUGACUUUUACACCUUUUAUGAUGACUACUUUUGGUGGAGUUGAAAUGCUGUUUUCAUUCUGCAUUUGUGUAGUUCGGUGCUUUGUUCAAAGUUAAGUGUUUUCAGAAAAGUAUGUUUUGCAUGUAUUUUUUUACAGUCCAAAUUUUGACUGCUGAGAAGUUUCUAUUGUACAAAACUUCAUUUAAAAGGUUUUUCUACUGAAUCCAGGGUAUUCUGAAGAUCAAAGCCUGUGUGUAAAAUGCUACCAGAUGGCAAAAAGUAACAAUAAAGAAAUUUGAUUUUUACUUUUCUUUCUAAAUAUCAAUGCUUAACAAGAACCAUUCUUAAGUUAUCAGUAAAAAAUAAAUAAAUAAAAAUUUUCUUUCAGGAGUCCAUGAAACUUGCCAUAUUCGAUAUACCUGCAAUUAAGUGUUAAAAAUACGCUGUAACUCUGUACUGCUAGUAUUAGAACAAGAAUCUUUCCAUACAGCUAAUGCUUAAUGCUUACAUUAAUGUGGAUUUGUCGGCCUUUAUGUAAUCUGUAUUAUAUAUAGCAGGGGAUAAGAGCUACAGAUAGAUACAUGCCUUUAAAAGGCUGUUUCUUAAGGCUGUUACAAGGAGAUAAUGGUAUUUCAACUAAUCAGCAAGUGACAAUACAUUCCACCACAAAUGUACUCUUGUUCUUCUAGCCUUUAGACUAUGAAAAUACUGGGUGCUUCAAAGUAUGGAAUGAGAGAAGGGAUCACCACACCUGUGUCAUGGAUGAAGACUGCCUGUUCAUUUUUUAAAUAUGAUUUUCAGGUCCUUUGCUUACCAAAGGAAGCCCAAUUCACUCAAAUGUUUUGAGAACUGUUUAAAUAAACAAGCAAGAAAAAUUGCUGAUGCAACUUGUUUUACAAAGAAGUGCUGGUUUUCUUUUUAACUGUUGUAAUUAAAGUCCUGUAGUUUAUUUAGUGCCUGGUGCAAUACUGUUCUCGCUUCAAGAUAACAUUAAAUGUGUUUCUCAAAUA
rnacentral:lncRNA from 1 species